rnacentral:rRNA from 1 species
CCUACGGGGGGCUGCAGUGGGGAAUAUUGCACAAUGGGCGCAAGCCUGAUGCAGCCAUGCCGCGUGUGUGAAGAAGGCCUUCGGGUUGUAAAGCACUUUCAGCGGGGAGGAAGGCGGUGAGGUUAAUAACCUCAUCGAUUGACGUUACCCGCAGAAGAAGCACCGGCUAACUCCGUGCCAGCAGCCGCGGUAAUACGGAGGGUGCAAGCGUUAAUCGGAAUUACUGGGCGUAAAGCGCACGCAGGCGGUCUGUCAAGUCGGAUGUGAAAUCCCCGGGCUCAACCUGGGAACUGCAUUCGAAACUGGCAGGCUAGAGUCUUGUAGAGGGGGGUAGAAUUCCAGGUGUAGCGGUGAAAUGCGUAGAGAUCUGGAGGAAUACCGGUGGCGAAGGCGGCCCCCUGGACAAAGACUGACGCUCAGGUGCGAAAGCGUGGGGAGCAAACAGGAUUAGAUACCUUGUAGUC